UAAUAAUUAUAUACUGAAAGUUAAUCUCAGCUGAAAAAUUAAUCUCAUGGUUGAAAUUAAAUAGUCUUCUUCAAACAGAAACCCAAGUAACACUCAUUCUUCCUUGUCUGUCGUGAGAGAAGCUCUGUUCCAAUCAACAAUAACUGGUUCUCCUCUCACCGGGCUUCGUUUGGUUCAUCACCCUUAAGGAUCACCACGCCUUUGCCGGCGACGAGAAAAAACCCUUCGCCGCUGCCUUUCCGACGUCCCCACCCACCGGCGAUUUCGUUGCAGGUCCUCUGCAGAUUAGAUUUGUACUGCAUCUUUAUUCAAAAUCUGGGUCAUUAUUUCUAAUGGGUUGCUGGGGUCGUUGGGGAAAUUGUUGAUCUGAUAUGGUGAGGUGAUCUCAAAGGAUAUCAAUAGAAAACAGUGGUGGUUUUGUUUCCUCAGGUGGUGAGAAUUGAUGGUGAUCCAAAAACCAAACGCAUAUCACAAAUUGAAGCAGAGGAAAUAGCUGUUCAGAAGCAGUUGUGCACAGUUAGAUGCAUCCAAGGGAUGUCAUUUAAUGUAUAUUAUAAUUUUAGGAGUAAAAUUUUACGGACCAUAAGAUGAAUCUGACGGAUUAUAGCACUGCAGGAGGGGCUGCACAUAAAUUUCUGUAGGAGAGGAUCCAAAUUCCUUGACAUGACAUCAAGUCUCUAUGAGCAAGCAGAAUUGAAAUCUUAUUUAAUUGUGUUU